GUAAAGAUUUUAAGGGCGUACGGUGGAUGCCUUGGCGAUAUCAGCCGAAGAAGGACGCGGUAAGCUGCGAUAAGCUACGGAGAGGUGCAAGCAACCUGUGACCCGUAGAUUUCCGAAUGGGGGAACCCGGCAGUGGUUAUGCACUGUCACCCAUACCUUUGAGUAUGAGGAGGGCACCUGGGGAACUGAAACAUCUAAUUACCCGGAGGAACAGUAAUCAAACGAGAUUUUCUUAGUAGCGGCGAGCGAACGGGAAAGAGGCCAAACCGGAGCGGGCAACCGCACCGGGGUUGAGGACAGUCAUCAAGUGUAAAUGAGGUAGAAGAAUCGAGCUGGAAAGCUCAGCCGCAGAAGGUGAAAGCCCUGUAAUCGAAACCUUGCAUACAUGGGACUGUAUCCAGAGUACCACGAGACACGUGAAACCUUGUGGGAAGCAGGGGGGACCACCCUCCAAGCCAAAAUACUGAUAUCGACCGAUAGCGCAUAGUACCGUGAG
rnacentral:rRNA from 1 species